rnacentral:rRNA from 1 species
CCUACGGGAGGCAGCAGUGGGGAAUAUUGGACAAUGGGCGAAAGCCCGAUCCAGCCAUGCCGCGUGUGUGAAGAAGGCCUUCGGGUUGUAAAGCACUUUCAGUGGGGAAGAAAGCCUUGGGGCUAAUACCCUCGAGGAAGGACAUCACCCACAGAAGAAGCACCGGCUAACUCCGUGCCAGCAGCCGCGGUAAUACGGAGGGUGCGAGCGUUAAUCGGAAUUACUGGGCGUAAAGCGCGCGUAGGCGGUCUGAUAAGCCGGUUGUGAAAGCCCCGGGCUCAACCUGGGAACGGCAUCCGGAACUGUCAGGCUAGAGUGCAGGAGAGGAAGGUAGAAUUCCCGGUGUAGCGGUGAAAUGCGUAGAGAUCGGGAGGAAUACCAGUGGCGAAGGCGGCCUUCUGGACUGACACUGACGCUGAGGUGCGAAAGCGUGGGUAGCAAACAGGAUUAGAUACCCGUGUAGUC